rnacentral:rRNA from 1 species
AUGUGGAAUUCAUCUCAAGCUCUAGAAGAAAUCAAUUGGGAAGAGGAAAUUCAGUCUGAUCCUGGCAAAAGGAGAAGCAUAGAUGAGUAUCCUCCUAAUCUAAGGGAUGUGGUAAGAAGAAAAUAUUUGGCUAAGCCUCUUUGUCAACCUCGUAGUUAUAAUUUUAAAACUACAACUAUUGGUGGUCGAGAGAGAAAGUUUAAUCCUGAUUGGUUUGAUGAGUUUGGGAGCUGGGCGCCGUGAUAAGAAAGAAGCUGGAUAUGCAGCAUUUGUUGCAAAGGGUUGGUCAGGCUGGAACAAAAAACAUAGACUAAAUGAUCAUGUCGGAGAUGUCAACAGUGUUCACAACCAAGCAAAAAGAGAUUGUGAUGCUUUAUUGCAACAAGAC